rnacentral:rRNA from 1 species
UCGUGCCGUGAGGUGUCGGUUAAGUCCCAUAACGAGCGCAACCCUAUCAUAGUUGCCAUCAGGUCAAGCUGGGGACUCUAAUGAAACUGCCUACGCAAGUGGUGAGGAAGGUGGGGAUGACGUCAAAUCAGCACGGCCCUUACGUCCAGGGCUACACACGUGCUACAAUGGCCGGUACAAAGGGCAGCUACCUGGUGACAGGAUGCUAAUCUCAAAAGCCGGUCUCAGUUCGGAUCGGAGUCUGCAACCCGACUCCGUGAAGCUGGAUUCGCUAGUAAUCGCGCAUCAGCCACGGCGCGGUGAAUACGUUCCCGGGCCUU